rnacentral:lncRNA from 1 species
CCAAAGUGCUGGAAUUACAGGCGUGAGCCACUGUGCCUGGCCCAGCCUGCAUAUUUUCUAAAAAUCAACUCAAAUAUCCAUUUGUUUAAAAGACUAUUUAAAUAUUUUUGGUACAUAGCAUAUACUUGCUUGAUAUUUGGCUAAAGGGAUGUCCACAUGAAAUCGAGGCUCACGAUUAUCUUGAGAAGAGCCACUCUUUAAAAGCAAUUAAAUAGAAAAAUGGAAGAUAAUCAUGUGAUGCUAGUCAAGCCCUCUUCCCUUCCUAGAUGGCUGCACUGGGUAGACAGAGAUUCUUGGUAUGUUAGGGCAGUAACUGUGUUCAAGGAGGAAAAUAGGUACUAGCCUGUCAGUCUAGUAGAGGAGAUGGCUGAAAGAGAUAAUACAUCUCAGUUCAUGGGUCUGCCUUAAAUAAGAACUCUGGAGCUAUCCCUGUGUCCCAAGGAAUUAAUCUCUCUAUUUCAGUAUGUGUGUUCUGAUCAACUCAUUGUAGCUAUUAUUCAUCUCCAGCUAUCAAUUGGAUCACUUGAGGUCAUCUCUGUAUCUGGAAUGGUAAGUCUGGGUAGGCAAAGUGCCUUUAAGUGAAUUCUACACUCAGAUAUGGGUAAAAUGAUCUAAAGAUUCCUAAGUCAGUUUGAAAAUAGAGGUUGGGAUGGAGGGAUUUCUGACUCCUUGUAGGAUCUGGGGCUCCCUGAUGCCAGAAGUAUCUCUCUGGUUUUGUGAAUUCUGGCUUCUAAAGAGAUAGCAUCUAAGUUCCCACUGCAACCUAGCUUCUCCCUUUAUCUUAGGUGUCAUACAAGAAGGGUCUUGGCGGUGGUCUGACCUGCCAUGGACUGUCCAUCUGCCCGGACUACAGCGAGACAAUUUUUCCAAGCUUCCAAGGAGCCAAGCUGAAGAAAGAGUGAAACAAUGGAGGCGCCUUUCUUUCUUGAUCUUGGGAGAAGGUAUUAAACUAGAACUCAGAAGAUCUGGGCUGCUACUUUCUAGUUCGUCACCUCAUGCAGGAUAUGUAGCUUUUGCAAAUCUUGACUUUCCAAAUUUCAAAUGAAGCUCGUGAUUUGUGUCUUGAGUACAUAGGGACUUGCUAUGAGCAUUAACAGAGAUUACGAAUGCAAAGCACUUUGCUUAUCAUUAAUUUUUUUUUCUUUUUUUUUUUUUUUUUUUGAGACUGAGUCUCUCUCUGUUGCCCAGGCUGGAGUGCAGUGGCACCAUCUCGGCUCACUGCAACCUUCGCUUCCCAGAUUCAAGCGAUUCUCCUGCCUCAGCCUUGCAAGUAGCUGGGACUACAGGUGCACACUACCACGCCCAGCUAAUUUUUGUAUUUUUAGUAGAGACAUUGGCUAGGAUGGUUUUGAUCUCUUGACCUCGUGAUGCACCUACCUAGGCCUCCCACAGGCGGGAGCCACCAAGCAGGCUGCUUAGCAUUAAUGUUUUUAACAAAAUAAUGAGUAGAGCUACAUGGCAGAUUCAAUUCUGAUUCUGUGUUAUAUGCUUGAUCUGUAGCUAUGCCUCAGCAGCUUUGCACAGCAUAGGGGCACAGAUGCUUUCUUCUUAUUGUGACUUACAUGGAUUCAAAUUGUAGGUGACAGAAAAAUGUUGGUAUUACAUGUCAAACACAAAGGCAAAUAGAAUAAAAAGGUUAUAAUCAAGCUGUAAGCUGCACGCUCUAUUCAGUCUUCUUUCUCUCUGAAAUAUGUCAACUACUAUUUCCUGAGAUAUGAGGCACUUGAUGAUUGAGAUGAUUAAAAAAUACAUCCACCCGAAGUAAGCAUCAAUUACACAAAUUUACUAAUAAGAAACAAUCAAAUAUGCCUCCACAUGAAUGCACACAACACACACACACAUAAACAGAUUGUUAUGAAUUAUUCUCCAGAUUUCUACUUGUCACUAUUUUAUUAGGUAUACAAAGAAUAUUUUAUAUAUCACUUUGCUCUGGGAUUGAGAAACUUUUGCUUUAAGGUUUUAUUUUAUUUUAUGGUUAGAAAAGAAGGGUCAUUGAACUAUUAUAAACCAGUGAUGUUUCUAGAGUUUUCCUCCAAUUUCAUCAAAGAAGGAGAAACAGAUAUAGUGACCUAACACGUAGUUUUUAGAAACUGUUGUUACAGAGUUAAGAGCUGAAACUUUCACAAGUUUUUAAAACCAACAAACAAGCACAAGAAAAUAUAAUAUUUUCUAUACAAGGUAUUCUGAUGAUAUAAUAGUUUUAUAUUCAUUCAUCUUAUUAAUCAAAGAUGGAAGUAAACAAAAGAGGUCAUAGAUGUUUUUGCUAAUAAAAAAGAGAGGGAGUUCCUUACUUUCAUUAUUUAAUGUUAAUAAUAAUCAUAAUUGGAAAAAAAAAAACCCAUAGAUUCGAAGUUAAGUGGCUUGCCCAAGGUCAGGUUUACCAAAAUAUCAUUUAUUCUAUAUUCAAAGGUCUUUCACUCAAAAGACUCAUUACCUG